CUUCUCACAUUGCACUUGCAGAGCCUCUGCUUUUGGAGUAUUAGCUUUCGAAUAUACAAAAAUAUGGCAGAAUUUAAUAGUGACCAACUCUUAAGUCUCUUCACUCAGUAUGCUAUGAAAGAAGGUAGCAAGCAACUGCUUUCCAUGGACGGACUUAAAAGUUUGAUUCAGAGCCACUUCUCGAAUGUUUUGGGUUCAAUGUCUCUCAACGAUAUAUCCAAAUACGCGGACUUGGAUAAAGAUGGAAAAAUCAACUUUAAUGACUUCAAGGCACUGAUGAGCAAGUUAGGCAGU